CUGCUGCACUAUUGACGUGUUAGCGCGCGGCGCUAACAACUUAGCAACGUGACAUGUCUCUGAGAAAGCGUAAAACACGGACGCUUCUUCUGAAGCGGAAAAUAACACCUCUUCUUAAGCAGAGCAGGAUGUCGCCUCGGCUCGUUCACGGCCGAGCCGGACUGAGCUCGAUAACAUUGACCAAGCACAGCCACUGGGCCGUUGUAGCUGCCACCAGGCCUGCUGAAGGAACUCCAGCGGGUUUCAUCAGACUCGUAAAGUUUCUUGUUUUUGCUGGGGAUUUCUGUAUUUUACCGCUCCCUCCUGCAGUCUUCCCCUAUUAAAAUUUAAAAUGUGUAACUUUAUGUAUUGUGAUGAAUGACUAAUAUUCAUGUUAAACUGAAACGUUAGGCAUUUAGGGGGAAAAAACAAAAUAAUAAACAUUAUACAGAUGUCAAAUAAAUCAAACUGUAAUUAAACUAUAUAUUUUCAAAGUCAUAUAGACAGCAUGAUGGUUUGUGUGAUCCGCGCGGUUUCACUUACACCCCUUUAAUGAUCAGGCUGUUUUUUAUUAUUUUUAUCAGCUGAUAGCAGUUAAAAUUAUGGUAAAAAAUAAUUUUAUCUGUUUUUGAUAACUUAAUGCCCAGGAAGAGCAUCUUCCUGGGCAUUAAAUAUAACCCAAAUGUUUUAUUAUGAGCAGAUCUGAUGAAGGUUUAGACAAGCAGUCUGCAAAGUAAAACUUGUUUAGAGUCCAAACUCUUACUAAAGCUUUUGAAAAGAAAAAAUGGUUGAAUUUUGAGAAAUAUCCACAACAGGGGAGCGAGACCUCUGAAAAAUGUAUAUUUUCUCUGAAUUCAUAGAAUAAUGUGAAGAUUCUGGGAAAAGUUGGGAUUCUGAAAUUAAAACGUAAAUCUUUCUAAUCAUAAUUCUGGCAGUUUUUGUGUCCUUCUGCUGUGGAAAGUCGUGCAACAUGAAGAUACUGAGAAGAUGCUUACAACCUGUAUUUUUAUUCCAUCCACAAAUAAAAUCAUGAGCUAUUUUUUUAAUCCAAAUUUGAUCCAAAGGGCCAUCGUUGGUUCCAGACCCGUUCUAGAACAUUCCUCUAAUCUUAAAGUCAUCAUCAGUUUCUUCCUUUUAACAAAUAUUUAUUUGUUCAAAUAUUUAAUAUUUAUAACUGGAAUAUUUGUUCCUCCCUCUCCCACUGCAGUUAGUCCUGUCCUGCAACCCUGUUUUUGCAGCUUAGUGAAGCCAACCAUCACUAACCGGGGGGUGGUUUUGGACCCAGAGAUGCGGAUGGACUCCCACAUUAGCCAGGACCUGAUUGGUGUCCAGAACCUGCUGAAGAAGCACCAGGCUCUGCAGGCUGAGAUCACAGGUCAUGAACCUCGCAUCAAGGCUGUCACCCAGAAAGGAGAGACCAUGGUGGAAGAAGGUCACUUCGCUGGUGAGGAAGUGAAGACUAAACUGUGGGAGCUUCAUGGACGUUGGGACACGCUGAAGGCCAAGGCGUCCCAGAGGAGGCAGGACCUGGAGGACUCUCUGCAGGCCCAGCAGUACUUUGCGGAUGCUAAUGAGGCCGAGUCCUGGAUGAGGGAGAAGGAGCCCAUCGUUGGAAGUCCAGACUAAGGGAAAGACGAGGACUUGGCCGAGGCUCUCCUGAAGAAGCACGAGGCCCUGAUGUCGGACCUGUCGGCUUACGGCAGCAGCAUCCAGGCCCUGAAGGAGCAGGCCCAGUCCUGCAGGCAACAAGGUGAUCAGCAGGUGCUUUUGUCCUGCAGGACCUGAAGGCCAACGAGUCCCGCCUGAGGGACAUCAACAAGGUGGCAUCUGAACUGGAGUCAGAAGGUCUGAUGGCUGAGGAGGCUCCUAUGGUUCAGGCUCAGGUGAGCGUCACCUGUCUGCAGCAGCUGGUCCCUCUCACUUCCUGGUUUAACUCUGCUCGUCUCUGUUUGUAGCAACAAGAACAUCUGGGUUCUGCUCCUGGAAAGGUGCGUGUUGUCCUCCGCCUCCACCAGAACCAGACGUGGUGUUUAUGUUACCACUCAUUUGUUUGUUUACAGGAUGAAGCCGACUCUAACACGGCGUCACCCUGGAAGGUGAGUUCAUUCAGCUGAUCAGAGGUCACCUCUGAUGGCAGCAGUCACGGCCGACCGUGCUGACAUCACACAGGAAUUCAGGUGACCCGGCAGGCACCAGGUUUUGGUGAAAGUGGGGACAUGUCAGCUGGUUGCCAUGGCUAGUUAUCUUUAUGCAUCUGUAUGACUGCUGACUGGUGUGUGUUUCCUGUGACCUUUGACCUCAGACCGUACGGUUGGGCGUUCAGACGACGGCUAACUUUAAUUCCAUCAAGGUAAGAGGAAGCUCUUCCCUUCCUGUCUGAGCGAUCCGUCUCCAGGUUUCCUUGUCCGGCGUCCAGCCCGCUGGCGUCCACCUUCAUCUCACCUUCAUCUCAUCUCACUUCAUUUAUAGUGCAAUACUUUCACAUUAUCAUUUUCCCACACUUCUGUAUACCUGUAUUUUGUUGUUUUUCAAUAAAGAAUGACAAAUUAUUUAAGUUUGGUUUUUGUUGCACACAAAUAUAUAUCUGUAAAAAAUAUCUACAAAGCUAAUGUUUACAUAACAAGUAUGAUUGGGUUUUGCAAUACGGCACUCAAGUUUAUUUUAGUAAGAUUUUCAAACCAAGUAAAGUUAGUAAAGAACACAUUUCUAUUGUCUGCUAAGAAACUGUUGGGAUUUAAAAUGGGCCUGUUGUACAAAUAACUUGUAAAUGAUUAUUCCUCACUUUUGUCUUAACCAAAGAAAUUCCAGUAAUUGAGCAAAAACAUUUAUUUUUAACACUACAGUUUAUAAAACAGGGCGCAAAGUGUCGGCACAUGUAUGUAUGUCGAUGGUCCGCCCCAACCAAACCAAGAGACACAGACGUCAGGGAGGCCAAGGUUGUCUCUGCAGCUCUCUGGGCACCACGCCUCACUCAGCUGUCUCCAAUGAUCCAAAUGGCUAUGGAGGAAAAAAUAACAGGUUUGGCCUAGCUGUUUAAAGUACAAAACCAUUCAUGAAGUGGUCAAGACAAGUACUUGGAACUUACACGCUGCGUUGUGUAGCUGACGUUGGAGACACACAGGCUGCCAUGGUGACCUUUUAAUAGAUCUAAGAAAAAAAUGUAAUAAAAGAAUGAAACUUAAAAACUCCCAGACCUCAUGUCAUAUUUACUCAUCAGCUAUGGCUGAUUUGUUUGGAUCACAGUGAGUUACACUAAUUCUAAUAUAUUUUUAUUUCUAUUAUACAUACAUACUUUUUAACUGUUAUUUUCACAUGACUGUUAUCAGGCUCUCUUGUUCUGGUUCUGAUGAUAACUCUGUCUUCCAGUAAGUUAUCUUGUGCUUACUUCAUCUGUAUAAUGUCUCUUUACUUUUGGUAAAUUGUACUGAGUCCAGAAUAAAGGCUAGUUGGCUGUACAAGAUACAAACAAGUAUUACGUUUUGGAAAUAUAUGAAACACCGCCAGCAUCUGUUAGAGCCUGUGGCGGGGUGCUGAGGGCCGGCUCCAGCCCAGGAAUGAGCUCUACACGCCGGCCGGGAGGGUUUGAAACACCGCCAUCCUCUCCUCUGCUGGCUGUAAAUUCUGUUAUGGUUACCGGUGCUUGUGUUGCAAUGUGAAACGCUUGGUCUCAGAUUUUGUAAGAAAGAUAAUAAAAUGUCCCCCCAAAAUACGA